GCCUGCUUCAGAUUGUGUCUCCCUCUCUUUCUGCCCCUCCCCUUCUCGUGCUCUGUCUCUUUCUCAAAAAUAAAUAAAAAUGUCAAAAAUUUUUAAAUGAAUGUUUUGUUCAAAAGUUUUGUUUAUAAUUCCAUGAGAAUACAACGAAUCUGCUUAAAAAAUUAUUCAUUGCAGCAAAUAGCUCAUAGCAACUCAGUUCAACUAGAAACAGUGCAUUCUGCAUAAUAAAUGCCUUCUUUGUACCCACCUCUUCUAACUCUCUAGAGGGCUGCUCCACUUCAGAUGGACAGUACAGUCUUGUGUGGACAGAAAUGCCAAGGAAAAAAUAGAAGGAAGGAACAUGUAGGAGUAGUGAAAUGACAGAGAUGAGGAGCUCUAUGGAAAGCCUCUGCACAUGGGAUGUCACCACUUAUGGACAGAGACUGUUAUAAUAUGUUGAGCACAUGUGGAAGCUCCAAAUGAACAGAAGACCUUUUCAAGUGACAACAUGAAUAUUAUGGACGAGUCUGGGACUCUACAUUCUAGGUUCUGAUCCAAUGUUACUCUUUGCAAUUGUGCAGAGCCUCAAUUCACUCAUUAAAGGAAGACAUAUAUAUCUCAUUAGCUUUACUUAUUCUGACUUGCUAAUUUGUGAGUAUAAAUUAUAUUUUAGUGUAUGUGCUUAUAUUUGUGGAUAUUUUGUUCUUACAGCUUCACUGGCCCACAGCAAUUGUGUUUAAUGAAAAUCAGGUUGGUCUUGGAGUCAGAAAACCUGGUUGGAAUCCUGGUUAAGCCAUAGACCUAGUUGUAUAAUUUUGUACAAUUCUUAUCUAUAAGCCUCAGUUCCCCCAUAGGAAAAAUAGAGAUAAUAUACAUCUUACAGUGUGUUAUGAAGCUUUUAUAAAAUUGUGUACCUCUUCCACAGGACUGCCCAGAAAAAUGAAAGAGAUGAAAGAUAGAAGCUUUGGACAGGGGUGCAGCUAAAACAACAUGGGUUAGCAGGGGUCUCACACUCAAAUACCUACUAGUUCAUACAGGUAAUGUAAAGGUGUGAAGGAGGCAAGUGAGGCUGUGGUGAUUACAGAGUACUGUCCCUGAAAGGCUCAGGCCUUUUAAGCUCCAACUGAUUGCUGCUAUGUAAUAAUGUAGGCUUAGAUUUUCUGAGUUUUAAAGAGAUGACAGGAAUGUGGGUGUUCAUGUUUUAAAACCUUGUUUUCAAAAUGAUGGCAAAUAUUUUAGAAUGUUAAAAGAUUGUUAGACUAAAUAACAUAACUGUGGAAGUAGCUAGUAGGCUACUGGUUUGUUAUCUUUAGGUUUCACUGAAUUUUAGAGGAGGGCUUUAAUUUUUCUUUUCUCCUGGCUGAAUAAUAGGUCCCAUUGGCUGAGGAAACUCAAGAAAUAUCUGAGGUUCUUGUCUCCAAAACGGCUUCCGUGUUUACCUUCCAAGUAAACAGCCUCCAUGUAUAUAUUUCUGGCAGAGUUUUGAGUGCAUACAGCUGCUAACAAACAGGAGAGCUCAGCCAAAUCUAAAGGUGUUAAGAGGAAGUUUCAUUAUUUCAUUUGGAACGAGUGGGCAGAGGAUAUAUUGGCUCUGUGUGAAGUAAGGAUGAUUGAAUGUGACCAGGAAAUGGCCAAACAACAUGAACAUUUAAAAGAAGUCAUCUAAAAUAGGCUCACUGGGGCAUUAGGAAAAAACUUGAUUUUUUUUUAACCCAAAUGCCCAGAAUCUUUUAAUUCAAAAUCGUUAUGGAUAGGACCAACUGUAGUUAGUGUCAUCAGGUGUUUGUGAAUGAAACACUUCAAUCUUCUUGUCUGAACACAUUGGUCAUGAUCUCUAUUUUUUGUUUUACUUUUUAGAGCAACAUCUUGGAGGAGGAGUUUGCUUCUGCUUCAUCCUAGUGAGGGAAGCCACAUACGCUGAGCUGCAGCUUGGAAAAAAUGAUAAAAGCAGCUCCUCGAUGACCAUCUCCCAUCACAGUGCGUGGGUCUACAUAGCAACCUCUCAAGCUGCACAAGAGAAUGAACAGGCUUAAGGUCCACAGAGGACCAUUACUUAGAAGAAUUAUAUUUGUAUAGUGUUUUGUAAUGUGCAAAGGAAUUUUAUAGGCAUUGUCUCAUUUAAACAUGAAACCUUUUGCUGAAAUAUUCUCUGCUUGAUAGGUGAAGACACUGAGGUUCAGAGAGUUGAAGAUAGAUUACUAAGAUCACAAAGCAUUAUUUUAGAGAAGUGAAAGAUUUAUUCUUUAAAACUGAGUGUAGUAAUGCUGUUUGUUUUACUACAUGUAUUUAGGUGCUAUUAACAACCAUCUUAAAUUGAUGUUAAGGCCAUCUCUGUUUAAAUGAUUUGCAGGUAUUAUGUUUUGGUUCACUACCUGUAUAUUUUUACUUGCAUACCUUAACCUUUUAUCAACCAGGUUAUUACUUUUUUAUUUUUUAGAAAUUCUUAGUGAUAAUUAUCUUUUGGUAAAUCAACACUGCAAACACUUCCAACAAAAUCAGAAAUUCGAUUAAGUUAAAUGUAAAUACUCUGUGGCUAAAUUGAUAUAGAUAUUGCAUUAUAGUUUUCCCCUCUCUUUGAAUUUUGUUCCAUAAUUUAUUGAUUUUUACCUUAGUUAUUCUAUAUUUUCUCUAGUUUUGUGGGAAUUUACAUAUAUGUUUCUUACUAUCCAGAUUAUUUCAACUAUCCAUAAUUUCAACAACUAAAUUGUCAUUUAGGAACUUGAAAAACUUUAUAAUAAUUUUUUUUGUAUAUCAUAAAAAAUUUUACAUAAAAUCUAACCAUUUAUUGACAUUGAUCGAAGUUCUUAAAAAAAUGUUCUUUUCUGUGGCAAAUUGUUCAUGACUCUGUAAUGUUUCAGUAAGAACACUGCAUCUUUGAAUCAUUGUGAUCAUCAGGAAAGGUGUGAGAUUUGUGAAGAUCUAAAUAAAUCUGACAAGUAAAAACA